rnacentral:misc_RNA from 1 species
AGUUCAUGUUCUAGUAUGAUAAAUAUGAAAAUUAUGAUAUUCUUGUCUUUGACCCCUGAAAUACAUUUUGCUGUUUCUUUUGUUAUGGUUUAUAUUUCUUUGUUUGUUAAUGGAAAUCAUUGCCUUUUUUUCUGUUAAUUAUUAUGAGAUGGUUUUGUUGGUAUUUUUGAAGUAGAGAAAGAUGCAAAGAUAAUAUUGCAAUAAGAGAAUGCUUGAAACAAUGCGGUGUUUG